rnacentral:misc_RNA from 1 species
GGAUUGCAGUGGCAGGACCGAAGAUUGGGGAUAGCAACCAUGGGUAUCAUCACUCGUUUCAUUCCCAGUUUAAGGUCAGUGUUGUUGUUGCUAUAAGUUAGAGCUUUAAAUAAAGAAAGAAAUAAAGUAAAAAAAGAAAUAUAGUGGUUUCAUUCUUUAAGGUGGGGGAUUUCAUGUUUUUCCCCUCUUCUGAUCAGAUG